rnacentral:RNase_MRP_RNA from 2 species
UGCUCGCUCAAAGAAUCGCAUUCAAAGCUCUCAAACAGAAGUAUCUCUUAUGAUUCUUCAAUUGAAACAUAAUUUUCAAUAUUGCUUUGGGAGAAAGUCCCCGGACAUCCUUCAUUGAAAGGCAUGCGGAAACGCACCGCCAUAGAAGUACUUGCGGUUUAUCCUUUGUCUGGAUCUAUUUACUCACAUGGCACACUCUCGUUCAAAACCUAACAUUAACUACUCUUUAGGACUUCAUAUCAUAAGUGAGAUGACCUGAGAGGCGAAGAUAUGAGCCCGAGCUUCUCAUGGACGAUUUGAUGGCACGAAAAAGAAAUUUUUGUUAGAAAUGACUUGUAUGUUUUGAGUUUAUAGUAAUCGAUGACAGAGGGAAUUCUAUCGUCGUGAAUUAUAGUUAUGCGAUUGUUCACCUUGCUACGUAAGUAGCUUGGUGAGUAACUCGAUGGGGCUUAUUCUUGAUACGAGC